CCAACUCUGAGCAGGUCUUACACUUCAAGUUCCACUUCAAAUAGAAACUAAACCAGCAAAUCCCGAAUGAGGGCAAGACACUAGAUGUAUGAAUACAAGCAGUAAUGAGGACAUAAUCAAGGAAGAAAUGACAACUGGAUAAAUAUGUGUACAAAAAACUGCUUGGCUUUGCAACAAGCCCUCUUUGGUCCUACUGGAACUUUAUGUCACCUGAAGUCGUCUGCCUCCUCAGAAGAUGAAAUACAACAUGAAAUUGUUAACUGAUUCUACAAAUAGUUUCUGGACCACUUUGGAGAACUUCACCAAUUUGACAGGUAGAAGGACACACCUCUCAUGGAGCACAAAGUCACGAUCUAAGUAGACUACACAAUUCAUGGCAAUCCAUCCAUAACAACUCUGGGGCAUUCUAUAUGUCUCUUCCUACCUGGGAGAAAUAAAUCAAAGCCUAUAACUAUGUUAACACAUUAAACUAAAUCAUAAAACAACUUACCAAUUUGAAGAAAACAAGAGAAUCAGUGAAUUUAUUCGUCCCUCAACAAGGACUCCAUGGGAUGCGUUUUGUGAAAGCCCUUUGGCACUGUACUAGACACGGCAUACGACAAUAAAUAAUGAAUCCAGUGCAUUUCACUCAAUGACCAUAAAUCACAA